rnacentral:rRNA from 1 species
ACACAUGCAAGUCGAACGCUGAAGCUCCAGCUUGCUGGGGUGGAUGAGUGGCGAACGGGUGAGUAACACGUGAGUAACCUUCCCUUGACUCUGGGAUAAGCCCGGGAAACUGGGUCUAAUACCGGAUACGACCUCCUGCCGCAUGGUGUGGGGGUGGAAAGAUUUAUCGGUCUUGGAUGGACUCGCGGCCUAUCAGCUUGUUGGUGAGGUAAUGGCUCACCAAGGCGACGACGGGUAGCCGGCCUGAGAGGGUGACCGGCCACACUGGGACUGAGACACGGCCCAGACUCCUACGGGAGGCAGCAGUGGGGAAUAUUGCACAAUGGGCGCAAGCCUGAUGCAGCGACGCCGCGUGAGGGAUGACGGCCUUCGGGUUGUAAACCUCUUUCAGUAGGGAAGAAGCGAAAGUGACGGUACCUGCAGAAGAAGCGCCGGCUAACUACGUGCCAGCAGCCGCGGUAAUACGUAGGGCGCGAGCGUUAUCCGGAAUUAUUGGGCGUAAAGAGCUCGUAGGCGGUUUGUCGCGUCUGCCGUGAAAGUCCGGGGCUUAACCCCGGAUCUGCGGUGGGUACGGGCAGACUAGAGUGCAGUAGGGGAGACUGGAAUUCCUGGUGUAGCGGUGAAAUGCGCAGAUAUCAGGAGGAACACCGAUGGCGAAGGCAGGUCUCUGGGCUGUUACUGACGCUGAGGAGCGAAAGCAUGGGGAGCGAACAGGAUUAGAUACCCUGGUAGUCCAUGCCGUAAACGUUGGGCACUAGGUGUGGGGGACAUUCCACGUUUUCCGCGCCGCAGCUAACGCAUUAAGUGCCCCGCCUGGGGAGUACGGCCGCAAGGCUAAAACUCAAAGGGAUUGACGGGGGCCCGCACAAGCGGCGGAGCAUGCGGAUUAAUUCGAUGCAACGCGAAGAACCUUACCAAGGCUUGACAUGUUCCCGACCGGGACAGAGAUGGUCUUUCCCCUUUGGGGCGGGUUCACAGGUGGUGCAUGGGUGUCGUCAGCUCGUGUCGGGAGAUGUUGGGUU